rnacentral:rRNA from 1 species
GACGAACGCUGGCGGCGUGCUUAACACAUGCAAGUCGAGCGGAAAGGCCACUUCGGUGGUACUCGAGCGGCGAACGGGUGAGUAACACGUGAGUAAUCUGCCCCUGGCUUUGGGAUAGCCACCGGAAACGGUGAUUAAUACCGGAUAUGACCAUUUCUCGCAUGAGGUAUGGUGGAAAGUUUUUCGGCCAGGGAUGUGCUCGCGGCCUAUCAGCUUGAUGGUGAGGUAAUGGCUCACCAUGGCUUCGACGGGUAGCCGGCCUGAGAGGGUGACCGGUCACACUGGGACUGAGACACGGCCCAGACUCCUACGGGAGGCAGCAGUGGGGAAUAUUGGACAAUGGGCGGAAGCCUGAUCCAGCAACGCCGCGUGAGGGAUGACGGCCUUCGGGUUGUAAACCUCUUUCAGUACCGACGAAGCGCAAGUGACGGUAGGUACAGAAGAAGCACCGGCCAACUACGUGCCAGCCGCCGCCGUAAAAC